GACGAACGCUGGCGGCGUGCUUAACACAUGCAAGUCGAACGGAAAGGCCCUUCGGGGUACUCGAGUGGCGAACGGGUGAGUAACACGUGGGUGAUCUGCCCUGCACUUUGGGAUAAGCCUGGGAAACUGGGUCUAAUACCGAAUAGGACCACGCGCUUCAUGGUGUGUGGUGGAAAGCUUUUGCGGUGUGGGAUGGGCCCGCGGCCUAUCAGCUUGUUGGUGGGGUAAUGGCCUACCAAGGCGACGACGGGUAGCCGGCCUGAGAGGGUGACCGGCCACACUGGGACUGAGAUACGGCCCAGACUCCUACGGGAGGCAGCAGUGGGGAAUAUUGCACAAUGGGCGCAAGCCUGAUGCAGCGACGCCGCGUGAGGGAUGACGGCCUUCGGGUUGUAAACCUCUUUCAAUAGGGACGAAGCGCAAGUGACGGUACCUAUAGAAGAAACACCGGCCAACUACGUG
rnacentral:rRNA from 1 species